GAUGAACGCUGGCGGCGUGCCUAACACAUGCAAGUCGAACGGACAUUUUUUGGAAAGCUCUUCGGAACUGGAAUCUAAAUGUUAGUGGCGGACGGGUGAGUAACGCGUGAGCAAUCUGCCUUUCAGAGGGGGAUAACAGCCGGAAACGGCUGCUAAUACCGCAUAAUGCAUUGGAUUCGCAUGUUUCUGAUGCCAAAGAUUUUAUCGCUGAAAGAUGAGCUCGCGUCUGAUUAGCUAGUUGGCGGGGUAACGGCCCACCAAGGCGACGAUCAGUAGCCGGACUGAGAGGUUGAACGGCCACAUUGGGACUGAGACACGGCCCAGACUCCUACGGGAGGCAGCAGUGGGGAAUAUUGCGCAAUGGGGGCAACCCUGACGCAGCAACGCCGCGUGAUUGAUGAAGGUCUUCGGAUUGUAAAAAUCUUUAAUCAGGGACGAAUAAAAUGACGGUACCUGAAGAAUAAGCUCCGGCUAACUACGUGCCAGCAGCCGCGGUAAUACGUAGGGAGCAAGCGUUAUCCGGAUUUACUGGGUGUAAAGGGCGUGUAGGCGGGCUUGCAAGUUGGAAGUGAAAUCUCGGGGCUUAACCCCGAAACUGCUUUCAAAACUGCGAGUCUUGAGUGAUGGAGAGGCAGGCGGAAUUCCCAGUGUAGCGGUGAAAUGCGUAGAUAUUGGGAGGAACACCAGUGGCGAAGGCGGCCUGCUGGACAUUAACUGACGCUGAGGCGCGAAAGCGUGGGGAGCAAACAGG
rnacentral:rRNA from 1 species